rnacentral:rRNA from 1 species
GGAAACGACGGCUAAUACCGGAUGACGACGUAAGUUCAAAGAUUUAUCGCCGAGGGAUGAGCCCGCGUAGGAUUAGCUAGUUGGUGUGGUAAAGGCGCACCAAGGCGACGAUCCUUAGCUGGUCUGAGAGGAUGAUCAGCCACACUGGGACUGAGACACGGCCCAGACUCCUACGGGAGGCAGCAGUGGGGAAUAUUGGACAAUGGGCGAAAGCCUGAUCCAGCAAUGCCGCGUGAGUGAUGAAGGCCUUAGGGUUGUAAAGCUCUUUUACCCGGGAUGAUAAUGACAGUACCGGGAGAAUAAGCUCCGGCUAACUCCGUGCCAGCAGCCGCGGUAAUACGGAGGGAGCUAGCGUUGUUCGGAAUUACUGGGCGU